AGAGGGUGCGAGCGUUAAUCGGAAUUACUGGGCGUAAAGGGCGCGUAGGUGGUUAAUUAAGUCAGAUGUGAAAUCCCUGGGGCUCAACCUAGGAAUUGCAUAUGAAACUGGUUAUCUAGAGUUUGGUAGAGGGAAGUGGAAUUUCCGGUGUAGCGGUGAAAUGCGUAGAUAUCGGAAGGAACAUCAGUGGCGAAGGCGACUUCCUGGCCCAAUACUGACACUGAGGCGCGAAAGCGUGGGUAGCGAACAGGAUUAGAUACCCUGGUAGUCCACGCUGUAAACGAUGAGAACUAGAUGUUAGGGUGCUAGUCACUUUAGUAUCGCAGCUAACGCGUUAAGUUCUCCGCCUGGGGAGUACGGCCGCAAGGUUAA
rnacentral:rRNA from 1 species